GGGAAGUUUGGCUCAGUGGUAGAGUGCUUGCCUAGCAUGCACGAGUUCCUGGGUUCAAUCCCCAGCAUCACA
rnacentral:tRNA from 1 species